AAAACUAAAAAUGACUAAAAAUAAAAUUCAAAAAUGUGCACCCCCACACCUAGCUCAUGUAUUGGAAAAAUAAAGUUCAAAGAAAAUUUAGUACUCCCUUGGUGUGGUUUGUGUGGUGCGCCCUUGUUUAAGGUCACGGGCUGGACCUUCUCCAUUUGAUCAAGGCUCAAGUAAUUGGGGGAGGGAAAAGGGUCCCAACUGCAUUGAGUAAGAAGUGUAGCGUGCCUUUGGACUUGGUCAUCACCCCUCCUAUUUCUUUCAUGUACUCAUGAAGUAACAUGAUUAGCUCCUCCUCUUUGAGGUGAGGUGUACUUCUGGCCCUUGUGUUUGCAUUUUUGAGAUGAUUGGGCAGCACUUGGAACUCCAAUGCAUGUUUCUCCAUAGGUAGCUGCAAUUUAGUAUCGAAUUCGGGCAAAAUAAAUUCUACCUUAUGUUGCUGUUUGGGCGAACAGCAAUCUGUCUUGACUUGCUGUUUGGGCAAACAGGAUUCUGCCUUGACUUGCUGUUUG
rnacentral:lncRNA from 1 species